UAAAAUUUAUGGUCAAGCUACUAAGGGCAUAUGGUGGAUACCUUGAUGCAUAGAAGCGAUGAAGGACGCGGUUAGCGGCGAAACGCUUCGGGGAGCUGCCAACGAGCUUUGAUCCGGAGAUAUCCGAAUGGGGGAACCCAAUUGGUUUAAUAACCAAUUAUUCUUAUCUGAAUACAUAGGGUAAGAAAGUGAACCAGGGGAAGUGAACCAUCUCAGUACCCUGAGGAAAAGAAAGCAACAGCGAUUUCCCAAGUAGUGGCGAGCGAACGGGAAAGAGCCCAAACCCAUAUUGUGUAAUAGCCCGUGAGUGUUGCAAUGUGGGUGUACCGGGUUUAGGAGUGAUACGAUCACGGUUGUGUCAAAGAGUUACAAAUCUAUAAUUUAGCUGAAGGUUCCUGGAACGGAUCACCAUAGAAGGUGAAAGUCCUGUAGGUGAAAAGUUAUAGACUCUUAUCUUAAUACCCAAGUACCAUGGGACACGAGAAAUCCUGUGGGAAGGCGGGAGGACCAUCUCCCAAGGCUAAAUAUUCCUAUGCAAUCGAUAGUGAACUAGUACCGUGAGGGAAAGGUGAAAAGAACCCCUGCGAGGGGAGUGAAAUAGGACUUGAAACCAUGUGCUUACAAACAGUGGGAGUUUCAGUAAUGGAAUGACCGCGUGCCUUUUGUUUAAUGAGCCGGCUAGUUACUGUGUGCAGCAAGGUUAAGGGAAAUAUAACCGAGCCGUAGCGAAAGCGAGUCUGAAUAGGGCGUUAGUUGCAUAUAGUAGACGCGAAGCCAAGUGAUCUACCCUUGGCCAGGAUGAAGUUCAGGUAAAGCUGGAUGGAGGUCCGAACCAAUGUUGGAUGAAAACAGCUUGGAUGAGCUGAGGGUAGGGGUGAAAGGCUAAUCAAACUUGGUAAUAGCUCGUUCUCCCCGAAAUAGCUUUAGGGCUAGCCUCCCAGGGUUGGUGAUGGCGGUAGAGCACUGGAUGGACCAGGGGGCCUAAAAGCCUCUCAUAUCUAACCAAACUCCGAAUGCCAUCAACGCAUACUGGGGGAGUCAGACUGUGGGUGAUAAGAUUCAUAGUCGAGAGGAAAACAGUCCAGACCACCAGCUAAGGUCCCUGAAUAUGGGCUAAGUGGUAAAGGUGGUGAAAAUGCAUAAACAGCCAGGAGGUUGGCUUAGAAGCAGCCAUCCUUUAAAGAAAGCGUAAUAGCUCACUGGUCAAGCAUUUUUGCGCCGAUAAUUCAGCGGGGCUUAAGCCCAUUACCGAAGCUGUGGAUGUUAUAUUAAUUAUUAAUAUAAUAUGGUAGGGGAGCAUUCUCUAUUGGUUGAAGUUCAGUUGUAAGACUGGGUGGACGAUAGAGAAGAGACUCUGCCGGCACGAGUAGCGAUAAAUUCGGUGUAAACCCGAAUCGCCGUAAGUCUAAGGGUUCCUGAGCAAGGUCAGUCCGCUCAGGGUUAGCCGGUGCCUAAGCCCAGGCCGAAAGGCGUAGGCGAUGGACAAUGGGUUAAUAUUCCCAUGCUAGCUUGUAAGUGUUUGAGCUAUGGGGUGACGCAGAAAGGUAAGUGUACGCUCUAAUGGAUGAGCGGUCGCAGUGGUAGGAAGAUCACUAGGCAAAUCCGGUGGUCAUAUAUUCCGAGAGCUGCGAGGAAGUGCGACUUUUGUCAAACCAACUCACUGACCCUACGCUGCCCAGAAAAACCUCUAUGUGAGCUUACAGGCUAACCGUACCGCAAACCGACACAGGUAGACGAGGAGAGAAUCCUAAGGCGCACGAGUUAUCUCUUGUUAAGGAACUCGGCAAUCUAGCCCCGUAACUUCGGAAGAAGGGGUACCCUUGUAAAGUGAGGAGGAACACUCUGAGCUUGAAAGGGCCGCAGUGAAAGAGCCCAGGCGACUGUUUAAUAAAAACACAGGUCUCUGCAAACUCCUAAGAGGAUGUAUAGGGACUGACGCCUGCCCGGUGCCGGAAGGUCAAGGGGACGGGUCAUUGAGAAGCAAUUCUUGAGAAGCUCGAAACUUAAGCCCCGGUAAACGGCGGCCGUAACUAUAACGGUCCUAAGGUAGCGAAAUUCCUUGUCGGGUAAGUUCCGACCUGCAUGAAAGGCGUAACGACUUGGGCGCUGUCUCAACAAGAGGCUCGGCGAAACUGUGGUACCGGUGAAGACGCCGGUUACCCGCAACUAGACGGAAAGACCCCGUGAACCUUCACUGUAGCCUAGUAUUGAGUUUUGAUCCUGUUUGUGUAGCAUAGGUGGGAGGCUGUGAAGUUCUGGCGUUAGCUGGAAUGGAGUCAAUAGUGAAAUACCACCCUAAUAGUAUUGAAAUUCUAACCAGGACCCAUUAUCUGGGUUUGGAACAAUGUUAGGUGGGCAGUUUGACUGGGGCGGUCGCCUCCCAAAAUGUAACGGAGGCGCCCAAAGGUUCCCUCAGGCUGUUUGGAAAUCAGCCGGCGAGUGUAAAGGCAUAAGGGAGCUUGACUGCGAGACUGACGGGUCGAGCAGAGACGAAAGUCGGGCUUAGUGAUCCGGUGGUUCCGUAUGGAAGGGCCAUCGCUCAACGGAUAAAAGGUACUCCGGGGAUAACAGGCUGAUCCUGCCCGAGAGUCCACAUCGACGGCAGGGUUUGGCACCUCGAUGUCGGCUCAUCGCAUCCUGGGGCUGUAGGAGGUCCCAAGGGUUGGGCUGUUCGCCCAUUAAAGCGGUACGUGAGCUGGGUUUAGAACGUCGCGAGACAGUUCGGUCCCUAUCUGUUGCGGGCGAAGGAUAUUUGAGGGGGCCUGUCCCUAGUACGAGAGGACCGGGAUGGACAAACCUCUGGUGUACCAGUUGUGGUGCCAACUGCAUCGCUGGGUAGCUACGUUUGGGAAAGAUAAGCGCUGAAGGCAUCUAAGCGCGAAGCUUGCCCCAAGAUUAGAUAUCCCUUCCUUAUAGCAAUAUAAGGAGUAAGACCCCUGGAAGACUACCAGGUAAUAGGCUGGGUGUGUAAGUCCAGUAAUGGAUUCAGCUAACCAGUACUAAUAGGUCGAGGGCUUGACCAUAA
rnacentral:rRNA from 1 species